rnacentral:lncRNA from 1 species
GCCAUUUUUUGCUUGCUUUUCCCCAUCCCUUUCCCUCACCCCAAAGUAAAGAAAUAACUAUUUUGUUGGACUCAAAAGUCAUCUUAUCUAGGAAGCUUCCCCCACUGAUAUGGUUUGCCUCUGUGUCCGCAUCCAAAUCUCAUUAUAAAUUAUACUCCCAUAAUUCCUGCAUGUUGUGGGGGGGGACCUGAUGGGAGAUAAUUUGAAUCAUGGGAGAUAAUUUGAUUGAUAGGGCACUUUCCCCCAUCGUAAUCUCAUGGUAGUGAAUAAGUCUCAUGAAAUUUGAUGGUUGUAUCCACUUUUGCAUCUUCCUCAUUUUCUCUUGCCUCUGCCAUGCCAGAAAUGCUGUUCACCUCCCACCAUGAUUCUGAGGCCUCCCCAGCCAUGUGGAACUAUAAGUCCAAUUAAACCUCUUCUUCCCAGUCUCAGGGAUACACAUUCUCUCUUCUCACCACAUGGCUGCUGCUGGAGAAUGAAGGAGGGGUGGUUUCAGCAAUUCAAGACUGUCCUUCCUACCCUCUUCAGUGCCCGACCUUGAUAAGUUGUUUAAACCAGUUCUACUACAAAAGGAAGAGUGGCACAUGUGGCACCUGGUCAGGAUGGACUCACUAAAGGAUUUAACCCAGACUUCUGAUGAACAAAUAUUGCUGCUACAUUAACUGAUUCACAACAAAGAAAUAAAAUAUCAUCCCGUUGAUUUUAUUAUUUAAACAUGGGCUCAAUCUUAAAUGUGACAAACCAAGAAAUAAAUAUGUCUGAAAAGUAAACAGUAAAUGGCCAAAUGGUAUGGCUGAGGCAUCUGUAGUGAACUCAUGCUGCUUCCUGGAGAUCACUGCAUUCUUUUCUGGGCUCAGUAAUCUACCUAAACUAUGUCAGAGAUUUGUCUGAGAUUUACUUUCCUGUCUUUUCUGGCUCAGAUUAUUUCUUUAUUUAGAAAAUCAGAACAUUUGCUUGUUUUUAGGGCUCAAGUACCUCUUCUCAUCUCUAUAAUGUCUCCAAAUGUCUCAGAGGAUUCCUAAUAGUAUCUGUAUUUCUUGCAUAUUAUGGUGUAAUUUAUCUGUGUCUAGAGAUCCGAAGUCAGGCAAAGUAGUUAAGGUACUCUUUCUUCUUACUUACAUAUCUUAAGACACAGUUCUCUGUCCUUGUGGUUUGUCUGACCCUCUUGGGUUCCUGUUAUGCUUCCAUUUGUACCAGAAAACACUGGAAAUCAAGUGAAAUUAAGUGUAAAAGUCAGAACUAGAAAAGCUUUUAGAUCAAGUCCAGAUAAAGAAAUGAGAGGGAUUUAAUCUGCCCUCUUCCUUACUAAGACAAGUACAUGAGGCUAGAUCCAAGAUAAAACUAUGAUUCAAUUGAAUCACUAACUCCCCUUGUUCUGAGUCUAUGCUUAUGUGCAGCAGACUUUUGAUAGUAAUUUCACUUUCUAUAUAGAUCUGCCUGUAGAUAAAAAUAUAUAUACUUAUCGGAAGAUCUGAGACCCUAGUUAUAAGUUAAUAGAUGAACUUCCUGGUUUAUACCUCAGAGCUUGUUAGUGGAUGUUCAUCUGAGAGAAGGAGGGGAUAGGAGAGAGGGAGAGAUCAUCCACUACCAUUAUGCUGCUGAAUCAGGUUCCUGAGGGAUAGUGCCUGGAACAUGGAGAUCACACCAGGGUACUAUCCCUUCGAGGCCUCUUUUGGCACCUAGCAACCCUUCUCCAUAGUGUACCUUGACUCCAUCUUGUUGCUAGUUGUCCACAAAUGCCUGCUUCGUGAGACAGUCCACCUCUUGGUUCAUAAGGCCAGUCAUAAACACAGACACUUCUCAAGAGGCUGUUACUGAACAAUAGGUUUCUUUCUUGUUUUUGUUUUUUUUGUUUUGCUUUGUUUUGUUUUGUUGUGUUGUGUUGUGUUGUUUUGAGACAGAGUCUCGCUCUUUUGCCCAGAUUGGAGUGCAGUGGCACGAUCUUGGCUCACUACAACCUUCACCUCCUGGGUUCAAGCAAUUCUCCUGCCUCAGCCUCCCGAGUACCUGGGAUUACAGGCGCCCUCCACCACAUCGAGCUAAUUUUUUUUUUUUUUUGUAUUUUCGGUAGAGACAGAGUUUCACCAUGUUGAUCUGGCUGGUUUUGAACUCCUGACCUCAAGUGGUCUGACCCUCCUUGGCCUCCCAAAGUGCCAGAAUUACAGGUGUGAGCCACCGUACCCCAUUGGUCUUUUCUUCCUAGAGGCAAAAUGCUGAAUCCUUCCACCUGUUAACCCUGUAAAUCUUGUGAAAUACUCCUUGGAACAAAGACUGUUGUUUCUUCUUUAGAUGUAUGACAUGAAAAUCUAUUUUUAUAGCCUUGCAGUGAAAUAUACAGCUAUGUGGAAAGCUUCAGGAAUAAAAAAAAAUUAUGAUAGACUUCAUUUAAAACUUUUUAGGAAUUCUUUAAAUAAUGAUAACUAAUUGGAGAAUUUGAUACAUGUUUCAAGGCUGAAACCUGGGCCUUUACAGCAACCAGAAAACAGACUGAAAAUGCCUAAAAGCUCUAACACCCACUAAAAAAAAUGCUUCAAAAUUAUACUUAUUGAAAAAUACUAUUUGGAACUAUAUCAUGAAGGAAUCAUCAGAAAAUAAAGUAGCUUGGCAAUUUUUAGUUACUCUCCAACUAAAAACAUCUGUUUAAUGAACUUUGAAAUGAUUUCGUAUUUGUGUUUAAAAAAUUUGCAUCUCUAUCUAGGUUGACAGCUUAAAUACCUGGCUCUAGCCAAACAAAAUCUGAAGUGACUAAGGCAUUGCUUCUUAAAUAAGAGCAAGUUGGAACUGCCAUCUCAAAUCACUACCAUGUCUUCUGGCAAGACAAGAUUAGCACUUACACUCACAUCUGAUGAGGGAGUCACCUCAAGCUUGUAAACAGCCAGUUUGGAUUACCCAGCAAGGGCAGGGUGAAACCAGCAAAGGGUUCCCAGGCCUCUGUUCUUUAGCCAGCCUGUAUAGAAUGGAGAAUUUUGAAGAGGUGAUGUGUUCAACACUUGGAUACAUUUAAGAAGACAGCUUGAGUCUAGUUUCUUUUGUCUCUAGGCCAGCUCAGAAUAACCAGGCACAUACCCUCACUGACCUCUAAAGGUAACACUGUUAAAGUGAGAGUCUUUUUUUUUUUUUGAGAGAGAGUCUUGCUCUGUUGCCAUGUUGGUGUGCAGUGGCGCAAUCUCAGCUCACUGCAACUUCCGCCUCCUGGGUUCAAGAGAUUCUUCCGCCUCAGCCUUCUGAGUAGCUGGGACUACAGGCGCGUGCCACCACACCCCGCUAAUUUUUGUAUUUUUAGUAGAGACGGGGUUUCAUCAUGGCAAGGAUGGUCUCGAUCUCUUGACCUUGUGAUCUGCCCGCCUCCACCUCCCAAAGUGCUGGGAUUAGAGGCGUGAGCCACCACGCCCGGCCAAAGUGAGAGUCUUACUGGCUCUUGCUUGACAUCUCUUUGUCUCUUUCUGCUACCCGACUUUGGUUCUGCUUCUGGCCCUUUGGAAUUGGUGUUUGAACUUAGUCUCUGUUCUUUAGGUCCUGGAUUUUCCUAACAGAUUCCAAUUGGGU